rnacentral:misc_RNA from 1 species
AAUAGCUCAACCGGAAGCCUCUCUAUUAUCGGAGGAACGAAAAGAAACAGAUCAUACCAGACCUUCCAACUUGAAUGAUGCUGUUUCGGUCAAUGUCUAGACUGUGUAAAUCUUUUGCAUGGAGAAGGAUCAAAUUUCACACCAAUUCUAAGGGGAAUUCGAAGAGAAAAGAUUUAGAUGUGGAUGUUCAAUACAAAAUAGUUAAUGAAGGGAAGGCAGAUGUCCUCCUACCCGCUGGUGUGUUCUACAAUCCAGUUCAGGAAUUCAACAGAGAUCUCACUCUAGCCAUUAUAUCAAUUUUUGCACAAAUACGUCGACAAGAGAUAAAGAAUGAUUUGCUGAAGGACAAAAAAAACAAAUAUAACAAGAAAGUGCCAGUUUCAAGUGGAGAGGUAAAUAUUAAUGAUGUUGAAAAACCACAGAAGAAGAUAUGUGUUGAUGAUAUAGAAGCUGGUAAGAAGUGUGCAGAUGGAAUAUCAAUCUUAGAUAGCCUAGCAGCAUCUGGGCUUCGGUCCAUCAGGUAUGGGCUAGAGAUUCCAGGUGUUAAGAAAAUUGUCGCUAAUGAUUUUGAUAAAACUGCUGUAGAAGCGAUACAGAAAAACAUUGAGAGGAAUAAACUAGAUCACCUCGUCACCUCCAGCUUUGGAGAUGCUUCUAUGGUAAUGUACAUGAGUAAAGGAACAGAUGCUGCAUUUGAUGUGAUUGACCUUGACCCUUAUGGAGGUGCCUCCCAGUUUCUGGAUGCUGCCGUGCAGUCUGUCAGUGAAGGCGGUUUGUUGUGUGUGACAUGUACAGACAUGGCGCUAUUGUGUGGUCGCACACCAGAAAGUUGCCGUGCAAGAUAUGGUACCAUGUCCUACAGGUCGUCAUACUGUAAGGAAAUGGCACUUCGCAUCCUUUUGCAAAGUAUGGAAACAACUGCUAAUAGGUAUUCACGGUAUAUCAUACCCAUGAUAUCAAUCAGUGCAGACUUCUACAUUAGAGUGUUUGUGAGAGUUUUCACAGGUGCCGCAAAUGUUAGGCUUUCAUCUCUCAAGUUGGCCAAUAUGUAUCACUGCUCAGGAUGUGGAGCUUUUACAGUUCAGAGACUGGCCCGGAAAUUACCUACAAAAGGUAAUGAACUCCAACUUUCUACAGCACACGGACCUCCUGUGACAGAUUUAUGUGAACAUUGUGAGCACAAACAUUAUGUCGCUGGUCCAGUGUGGGCGGAUCGUCUUCAUGACACAGACUUUGUAAAAAGAGUGAUCAAAUAUGUUCAGGGGAAACAAGCUGACUUCCAGACACGUAAGAGAAUAAUUGGCAUGUUAAGUCUUGUCAGUGAGGAACUCCAAGACUGUCCCAUGUACUAUGUUAUUAAUGAUGUAUGCAAGAAGGCCCAUGUCUCGCAAGUAAAGUCGGAGCUGUUCAGGUCUGCUUUAUUGAAUGCUGGCUUUGAAGUGUCCAUGUCUCAUGCUGAACAGAAUUCUAUCAAGACCAAUGCUUCAAACACAGACAUCUGGGAUAUUGUACGAUCAUGGGAGAGAAUGAAUCCGGUACACGAGAAGCGUCGUGUACCUGGUUCAGUCACAGCCAAUAUCCUGUCCAAGAAACCAGUCCUUAAAGUGUCAUUUAAACGCCACCAGAUGGCCACACAGGAGUCAAAGAAAAAGAACCUGUUACGAUACCAACAAAAUCCAGCCAAGUAUUGGGGUCCUAUGAGUAAACCAAAGGCAAAUAGGUCUGCUGAACCCAUGCUGGACAGGACGAUAUAUCUCCAAGGGAAGAGGAUGAAGAAUCGUGAAGAUGGUGAGGAAGAUGCCAAGAUGCAGGAAUGAUACAAUCAUGCUCCCUGGAAAGUGAAGGGUUUACUACAAUGAAAUCUCCCAGGAUAGACUAUUGCUGAGUGUGACUAGUGAAGGGUUUACUACAAUGAAAUCUCCAUGGAUAGACUUUACUACAAUCUCCCAGGAUAGACUAUUGCUGAGUGUGACUAGUGAAGGGUUUACUACAAUGAAAUCUCCAUGGAUAGACUUUACUACAAUCUCCCAGGAUAGACUAUUGCUGAGUGUGACUAGUGAAAGGUUUACUACAAUCUCCCAGGAUAGACUAUUGCUGAGUGUGACUAGUGAAGGGUUUACUACUAUGAAAUCUCCCAGGGUAGACUUUACUACAAUCUCCCAGGAUAGACUAUUGCUGAGUGUGACAAGUGAAGGGUUUACUACAAUGAAAUCUCCUUAGCUAGACUUUACUACAAGCUCCCAGGAUAGACUAUUGCUGAGUGUGACUAGUGAAGGGUUUACUACAAUGAAAUCUCCAUGGAUAGACUUUACUACAAUCUCCAAGGAUAGAUUAUUGCUGAUUGUGACAAGUGAAGAGCUCACUACAAUGAAAUCUCCCUGGAUAGACUUUACUACAAUCUCCCAGGAUAGACUAUUGCUGAGUGUGACUAGUGAAGGGUUUACUACAAUGAAAUCUCCCUGGAUAGACUUUACUACGAUCUCCCAGGAUAGACUAUUGCUGAGUGCGACUAGUGAAGGGUUUACUACAAUGAAAUCUCCCAGGAUAGACUUUACUACAACCUCCCAGGAUAGAUUAUUGCUGAGUGUGACAAGUGAAGGGUUUACUUCAAUGAAAUCUCCCUGGAUAGACUUUACUACGAUCUCCCAGGAUAGACUAUUGCUGAGUGUGACAAGUGAAGGGUUUACUAUAAUGAAAUUUCCCUGGAUAGACUUUACUACAAUCUCCCUGGAUAGACUAUUGCUGAGUGUGACAAGUGAAGGGUUUACUACAAUGAAAUCUCCCUGGAUAGACUUUAAUACAAUCUCCCAGGAUAGACUUGCUGAGUGUGACAAAUAAGGGUUUACUACAAUGAAAUCUCCCCAGAUAGACUUUACUAUGAUCACCCUGGAUAGACUAUUGCUGGGUGUGACUAGUAAAGGGUUUACUACAAUGAAAUCUCCCUGGAUAGACUAUUGCUGCGUGUGACAAAGUGAAGGGUUUACUACAAUAAAAUCUCCCUUGAUAGACUAUUGUUGAGUGUGACUUGUGAGGAAUUUGUGAUAACAACAGUAAAAGCAUAUGAGUGGUACUGAUCUAGGGGUUUUAUUGUAGUGUGUAUGUUCACUAUUUCAUUUGCUUGUGAGAAGGCAGUGGCCUGGAGGGGAGGGAUGAUGAGCAAAACUGGUGCCCGUUUUAGGAGAGUUAUCUCCCUUCUGAUUAAUGCCAGGACUCCAGACUUUGUGUGUCAAACAGAGGUAACAAACGUGGGAGUAGCAUACCAUAACAAAGUCACAUUGAGGUCACUGUUUUUGAAAGCAGGAAUCGUAAACUUUGUGUUGGACAUCAUUUUAAGGAGGUAUGCCAUAAGUAGGUCACUGUGACCUACUUUUUACGGGCUUGCCUUCGAGGUGUCAACAUAUGGUAUGGCCUAGGCCUUCAUCUACAUGAACAGUAUUUGCAUUGUGUGUGAUAACUUUCCCAGAUAUCAUUGAAUUGCCUUGAUAUAUAAAGAUUAAAGUCAAGUUCUAUCGGUUCAUGCCAUU